rnacentral:rRNA from 1 species
UACGAAGGGGGCUAGCGUUGCUCGGAAUCACUGGGCGUAAAGCGCACGUAGGCGGACUCUUAAGUCGGUGGUGAAAUCCUGGAGCUCAACUCCAGAACUGCCUUUGAUACUGAGGAGCUUGAGUCCGGGAGAGGUGAGUGGAACUGCGAGUGUAGAGGUGAAAUUCGUAGAUAUUCGCAAGAACACCAGUGGCGAAGGCGGCUCACUGGCCCGGUACUGACGCUGAGGCACGAAAGCGUGGGGAGCAAACAGG